GCCAGCAGCCAUAUCACCCUGCAACUCACAGCUGGCAGCCCACUGAAGCUCAGCAGGUGUGAGCCUGGUCAGUACCUGGAUGGGAGACCUCCUGGGAAAAACUAAGGCUGCUGCUGGAA
rnacentral:rRNA from 1 species